AGAGUUUGAUCCUGGCUCAGAUUGAACGCUGGCGGCAUGCUUUACACAUGCAAGUCGAACGGCAGCAUAGGUGCUUGCACCUGAUGGCGAGUGGCGGACGGGUGAGUAAUGCAUCGGGACGUGUCCGGAAGAGGGGGAUAACUGUUCGAAAGAACAGCUAAUACCGCAUAAUAUCCGAGGAAGAAAGCUGGGGACCUUAGGGCCUGGCACUUACGGGGCGACCGAUGUCUGAUUAGCUAGUUGGUGGGGUAAAAGCCUACCAAGGCGACGAUCAGUAGCUGGUCUGAGAGGACGACCAGCCACACUGGGACUGAGAAACGGCCCAGACUCCUACGGGAGGCAGCAGUGGGGAAUUUUGGACAAUGGGGGCAACCCUGAUCCAGCAAUGCCGCGUGUCUGAAGAAGGCCUUCGGGUUGUAAAGGACUUUUGUUGGGGAGCAAGGUGCACAGGUUAAGAGCUAGUGUACUUGAGAGUACCCAAAGAAUAAGGACCGGCUAACUACGUGCCAGCAGCCGCGGUAAUACGUAGGGUCCAAGCGUUAAUCGGAAUUACUGGGCGUAAAGAGUGCGCAGGCGGCUUUGUAAGCUUGAUGUGAAAUCCCCGGGCUCAACCUGGGAACUGCAUUGAGGACUGCAAGGCUAGAGUGUAGCAGAGGGGGGUAGAAUUCCACGUGUAGCGGUGAAAUGCGUAGA
rnacentral:rRNA from 1 species